CUCCUGCCCUCCUUCUGUGCUGACCCGGGGGACUGCAGGGUGGUUCUCACCCUGUUUGUCUAUGUUUGGUCUAUGGAAGAAGUAAUUUGUAUUUGCUGUUGCUCAGCAGUGUGUCACUCUCCAGCAUGGGGACUCUAGCAGGAUUGCUCCACACAGAUGUGUGUGAUUUAUACCAACUGCCUGGCUUGGCUCCAGAGGAGUCUAGGCAUGUGAGAACUGAAAGGAGCUCAGAUUAUGCCAUUUGCCAUGUUCAGCAUCCAGCUGAGUCUGCAAAAGAGCAAAUCAUCACUAACUGCAGGAGUCAGACUCUGUGAGGUAUCUAGUCACAAAAACAGGAGUGUAAGAAGAAGUGGAAAUGAAAGGAACAAGAUGAAAUGAGAAAAAGGAGAGGAAAUGAGUGGAGCAAGAGCAAGAGAUGCAGAACUGCUUCUACUUACAGCAUGGCAAGAGAAUGAUGCUUCAAAGAACUCAUGAGAUUAUGGCCUGUGGUUCAAGCCUUUAAUUUAAGAUUCCAUCUUUUACAGCUUUAACACAGUUUUUUUUACAGUUUUAACACAACAACAUCUGUCUUAUAAAUGAUGUAACUGGCAAUUACAACUGCUGUGGUUGUCUAGAUGUUCUGCAGAACAUACUUCUGAAGGCUGCAGCAAUUACUUCUGCGAAUGAUUAAUUAGGAAAAUAAACUCAUAUUUUGUAAACUCUUACAGUGUGUAAGAAAUAGGUCAACAGAAGGUGAUGAAUGUGUAGAGCCUUUUUUCUCCUGUAGUGACUAUUAAUGCUUUAGUGAUCACUGUUAAUUUACAGAGAUCAUCAAGCUUUUAGACAGUUAAAAAUUAUUUCAAAGUAUUUUGUGCAGUUGUAUGCUUACCAGAAAGAAUAAUUACUUUUGAAUUCUUUUAUCAUGUCAGCCUUUAGACUAGGUCGGAAAACUGCUUGAGGGGAUGCCUUGGUGUACAAUGGGUUGAGAACUGUUCUUUUUCAACUAGAAGGCCAUCAUUCCCUUGAUGCUUUACUAUCUGUAUCUGUCUGCUCACAGCUUUGUAUAUAGUGUUUUCAGCAGUGCUGUCUAUCUAUCCAUGAUACAAACUGGUAGUAUCGGUCAUUUCUGUUAUCUUAUCACAUGCUGUGGAUAAAAUUAGCUAACUAUAAUAAAAUAACUAGUUAGUGCAGACCACACAGAUAGUAUGACAGAAUGGAACAGCAGCUGGGUGAGAUGCUGGUAUGAAAAAUACCAGUCAGAUCAUUUUUAUGAAAACAAUUGCAACUUUCUGGAGGAAAAAAAAAAAGUAAAACAAUAUUACUUUUGAAUGUAAAAUGAUAUUGUUUUGUUUUUCAAAUGUUAUUUUUAUUACUAUUAUUUUUUUUAGUGGAAAGAUAUACACUCCUUGGAGAUAACAAUCUUAUCAUAUACAUGUCACAUAGAAGGAAACCUAAUGAAAGGACACAACAUUCCAUACUUUUAUUGGUACACUGUGGACAACAUUGGACAUAGGAAUUAUUAUCAUUAUUUUUUCUUUAUGACAGAACAGGAGAGAAAGAUACUGUCUUCUAAAAUUUCCUUGAAGAUGAGGUGGUUAGUAAGUUUGAAAAACUUGCCACUCUAAUUUUGGCUCUGGGUUCUUCAGUUAGAUACUUGGUCUGCCUUGGGGUUCUCUGAAUCUUACCUGAAUUUGAACAGAGGACCUGUGACUUGCCUAUCCAGAGAGAGAAUGCAACUAAGGGAAUGUUGGUUGUUGCAGCAGCAUUUUAAAGAUCCUAAAACUCAGUUGGUGAAUACCACUUCAGCAGCAAGAUGAAUCUUGUGAUUUUAGCCUGGUGUGCUGUUUGGUAACUCAAUCUGUGCUUAAACCACUGUUUAUGUCCAGUGCAGGCAGAAUUACAUAGCAAUGAUAGUGUCACAUAGACUGUUUUCACAUUAAAUAAAGUAUAUAAAUUUACGUAUAUAAAUAAUAAAAGAAACUACUCUGCAA